rnacentral:lncRNA from 1 species
GCCCCCUACCGCGCCCCGCCCUAGGCCUGUUGGUGGGCUCUAGAAGGGGUUGUGCGUUUGGCCGCCCUCGCCUGGUUUUCCUGCCAGACACCCUCAAGGUCUCCAGGCCGCAGCUGUGUAGCGCGAUGUGCUCACCCUCCGCCAACAGAGCUGCACCCCUCCUGAGAGCAAACUGACUGCUUGUAACUCCCCCAUCCUUAUUCCUUCCCAACCAUCGCACUCCCCGGGCAUCUCCCCUUUCUGAAGCACUUUGAACAUCCUUCCAAUCCUGUGAGCCCUUGGGAGAGUUGGGCAGGAUGUGACCCAUGCAUGCCCAGGGCAUCCAAGCCUGGGCCACAGAGCCGACCUCUUCCCAUUGCUGAGAAGCAGAACAAGGCCAGGUCCGGAACCGGGGCUGGACAGAUAGAAUUGCUGCCUGAUGUCAGACAGCCCUAUUGGCAUCCCAGCCCUAAGUCCGUGCCAAAGUUUAAGUGGUUUUGGACGAAUUAUCACACCUCUCAAGGCCCCGAUGUCCUCAUCUGCAAAGCAGAAACCCUAAGAUCUAUCUGAGAAGCUAGGAAGAAAUUUAGAAAUAAAGUGUCCCGGUCAGCCUCCAGAACAGCUAAAAUGGGAAAAUCUGACAAUGCCAAGUGCUGGCAAGAAAGGGAGCAACUGGAAGGCUUGUACACUACUUUUGUGGAGGUGCAAAACUCACUGCCACGUGGAUAUCUGCUUUCUUAUUUGUUUUGGGUUUGGUUGGUUGUUUUUGAGGCAGAGCCUCACUACAUAGCACUGGCUGACCUUGAAUUCACUACCUAGACCAGGCUGGCCUCAAGCUCACAGAGAUCUGCCUGCCUCUGCCCUCUGAGUGCUGCCACACCAUGCACAACAUGGAAAUCUGCUUUAAAGGAUCCAGUGCCCAGUACUUUCACACCCAAGAGGCUUACUGAACUUCUGUUUUCUGUUCUUAGCAGUGCUGUUUGGAGUAGCCUUAAGUGGAGACUGUACUGAUAACCUGUAGGUCAUUAAAGGGUUAUAUAAAUUGUGGCAUACUCACUAUUGGAUUGACACUGAAUAAUUUACAGCCACAUACAAAGUAUAAGGGGGACUCUUACAAAAGGACUUUGAGCAAAAGAAGUCAGAUAAGAGCUAGGAACCAAUCGAUCAGUGUAGAAACUUCGAGAUUCUCAGAAAUUCAAAGCCAGCUUGGGCUAUUUAGAACUGCUGAAGGUUGAGGGCAGGAUGGCCCCAAGGGAAAAUCGAUGGAGGCUGUUGAGAGGUACAGAUGCCUAUGUGCAUCUAGGGCACACUCCCGAGGGCCUGUCCCAUCUGCACUUCCACAGACCCUCCUCUGACUCUUCAGGGUGACUGUCCUGAUUCCCUCUGAACUUUCCUGGGGGAGACGUCUGGCCUCUCUGCAGCGGAGGACGCGACAGAUUGAUAAGCGAUAACCUUGGACUUGUGGGUUCCCGGGAGGGGAGGGAGGUGAAGCACAUUGAAGCCCUGCGUAAAUUAGGAUGGCUCAGAUUGUACUAUGAUUAAAAUUCAAUAAAGAACUGGGUGUGGAGG